rnacentral:rRNA from 1 species
AGGUGUGAUCAUACUAGCGUUAAUGCAUCAUAUCCCAUCAGAACUCUGUAGUUAAGUUUUCUUGGGCUAGAAUAGUACUGGGAUGGGUGACCUCCCGAGAAGUCCUAGUGUUGCACCCU